GACAGAAGAUGCAAGCGUUAUCCGGAAUGAUUGGGUUUAAAGGGUCCGUAGGCGGUUUUGUAAGUCAGUGGUGAAAGCCCAUCGCUCAACGGUGGAACGGCCAUUGAUACUGUUAGACUUGAAUUAUUAGGAAGUAACUAGAAUAUGUAGUGUAGCGGUGAAAUGCUUAGAGAUUACAUGGAAUACCAAUUGCGAAGGCAGGUUACUACUAAUGGAUUGACGCUGAUGGACGAAAAGCGUGGGGUAGC
rnacentral:rRNA from 1 species